rnacentral:rRNA from 1 species
GUCCUUUUGAUAAUAAUAUAAGGUCUAACCUGCCCACUGAAAUUUUAAAGGGCCGCAGUAUUUUAACUGUGCAAAGGUAGCAUAAUAAUUAGUUUCUUAAUUAGAAGCUGGUAUGAAUGGUUGAACGAGAAAUUUACUGUCUCGAUUUAUAUAUUAAAAUUUUAUUUUUAAGUUAAAAAGCUUAAAUUUAUUUAAAAGACGAGAAGACCCUAUAGAGUUUUAUAAAUUUAAUUAUAUUAUUUUUAGAAUUUUUUUUUAGUUAUAUUUAUUUUAUUGGGGUGAUAUAUAAAUUUAAUAAACUUUAUAUUUUUAAUAACAUUAAUUAAUGUUUAGUUGAUCCAUAUAAAUGAUUAAAAGAAAAAAUUACCUUAGGGAUAACAGCGUAAUUUUUUUUUAGAGUUCUAAUCGAAAAAAAAGAUUGCGACCUCGAUGUUGGAUUAAAAUUAAUUUUUGGUGUAGAAGCUAAAAUAUUAGGUCUGUUCGACCUUUAAAAUUUUACAUGAUCUGAGUUUAAACCGGUGUGAGCCAGGUUGGUUUCUAUCUUUAAAAAAAAUAAAUAUUUUAGUACGAAAGGACCAAGUAUUUUUAAAAUUUAAUAUUUUUUGAAUA